UUGACCUCCACUUUGGGAUAACCCCUUUAAACCUGUGCUAAUACCGAAUAUUGAAAUAUAAGUGGCAUCACUGAAUUUUGAAAGAAUUUCCGGUGGAGGAUGACUUCGCGGCCUAUCAGCUUGUUGGUGAGGUAAAGGCUCACCAAGGCGACGACGGGUAUCCGGCCUGAGAGGGCGACCGGACACACUGGGACUGAGACACGGCCCAGACUCCUACGGGAGGCAGCAGUGGGGAAUAUUGGGCAAUGGACGAAAGUCUGACCCAGCGACGCCGCGUGAGGGAUGAAGGCCUUCGGGUUGUAAACCUCUUUCAGUAGGGAAGAAGCGAAAGUGACGGCACCUAAAGAAGAAGCACCGGCUAACUAUGUGCCAGCAGCCGCGGUAAUACAUAGGGUGCAAGCGUUGUCCGGAAUUAUUGGGCGUAAAGAGCUCGUAGGUGGUUUGUUGCGUCGGGUGUGAAAUUCAGGGGCUCAACCCCUGACCUGCACUCGAUACGGGCAGACUAGAGUUUGGUAGGGGAGACUGGAAUUCCUGGUGUAGCGGUGGAAUGCGCAGAUAUCAGGAGGAACACCAAUGGCGAAGGCAGGUCUCUGGGCCAAUACUGACAC
rnacentral:rRNA from 1 species